AUGUGCAUUGUGUUUGAUCAAAGGCGCGUGGGUGGUGUGCUGUUGUUUCGCAAGUGGUGCUUGUGCAAGGUCGAGGAGGCUUGCGCUGCUGUGAUCUGGAGGUGUUGUCGUUGUUGUGUGCGUGACCAGAUCCUGUGCAAGCUGGCUUUAAAGGAGUUGUUUCUUGAACGCAGAUCUCUGCCAUUAUGCCUAUAUUGUGAACCUACAUCAGUGUUCGUGAAUGAAAGUGUGGUUAGAAGGUGGCGGUACGGAGCGACGAAAGUGUGCACGCAGAGCAGCUUCAGGUGGCAUCUAAAUAGUGACUACUAG